CCCGCCACUAUGCCUGUCUGUCCUGUGACUGAGUAUAAUCCAGUGGAGGCUCAGAUUGACCCAGCUUUAGGAAACGGAGCUGUUCACACUAAUGGACCGCUCUGUGCCGAAAAGACUGGAACACAA